rnacentral:rRNA from 1 species
AGUGAACGCUGGCGGUAGGCCUAACACAUGCAAGUCGAACGGCAGCACAGUAAGAGCUUGCUCUUACGGGUGGCGAGUGGCGGACGGGUGAGGAAUACAUCGGAAUCUACUUUUUCGUGGGGGAUAACGUAGGGAAACUUACGCUAAUACCGCAUACGACCUACGGGUUAAAGCAGGGGAUCUUCGGACCUUGCGCGUUUUAAUUAGCCGAUGUCGGAUUAGCUAGUUGGCGGGGUAAAGGCCCACCAAGGCGACGAUCCGUAGCUUGUCUGAGAGGAUGAUCAGCAAAACUGGAACUGAGACACGGUCCAGACUCCUACGGGAGGCAGCAGUGGGGAAUAUUGGACAAUGGGCGCAAGCAUGAUCCAGCCAUACCGCGUGGGUGAAGAAGGCCUUCGGGUUGUAAAGCCCUUUUGUUGGGAAAGAAAAGCAGCAGGUUAAUACCCCGCUGUUCUGACGGUACCAAAAGAAUAAGCACCGGCUAACUUCGUG